rnacentral:tRNA from 1 species
AGAGAGUUAGUCUAAGUAAGACAGUUGAUUUCGACUCAACAAACCAUAGCUUACCCUAUGACUCUCUU